rnacentral:rRNA from 1 species
AUUGAACGCUGGCGGCAGGCCUAACACAUGCAAGUCGAACGAGUGGCGGACGGGUGAGUAAUGUCUGGGAAACUGCCUGAUGGAGGGGGAUAACUACUGGAAACGGUAGCUACUACCGCAUACCAUCGGAUGUGCCCAGAUGGGAUUAGCUAGUAGGGUGGGUAAAGGCUAACCUAGGCGACGAUCCCUAGCUGGUCUGAGAGGAUGACCAUCCACACUGGAACUGAGACACGGGCCAGACUCCUACGGGAGGCAGCAGUGGGGAAUAUUGCACAAGGGGCGCAAGCCUGAUGCAGCCAUGCCGCGUGUGUGAAGAAGGCCUUCGGGUUGUAAAGUACUUUCAGCGGGGAGGCGUUACCCGCAGAAGAAGCACCGGCUAACUCCGUGCCAGCAGCCGCGGUAAUUC